AGCAAGAUGGAGUCACAGACCCAAGUUCUCAUGUCCCUGCUGCUCUGGGUGUCUGGUAUUUGUGGAGAUAUUGUGAUGACCCAGUCUCCAUCCUCCCGGGCUGUGUCAGUAGGAGAGAAGGUCACCAUCAAUUGCAAGUCCAGUCAGAAUCUGUUUGGUAGCAACAGCAAGAAGAACCACUUAAUCUGGUUACAGCAGAAACAUGGGCAGGCUCCUAAACGUCUGAUCUACUGGGCAUCCACUCGGGACACUGGAAUCCCUGAUCGCUUCAUAGGCAGUGGGUCUGGGACAGAUUACACUCUCACCAUCAGCAGUGUCCAGACUGAAGACAUCGCAGAUUAUUACUGUGUGCAGUAUCUCAGCUAUCCUCCCACAAUGCUUCAGCCUCCAACAAAAACCUCUUCCGAGUCUCACCAUCUGCCAGCACCACACACAGCCCUGGUCCUGCAUACUUCCCCUUUCUGCUUGAGAGCUAGUGUGCCUGAAAAACUGAUGUGA